rnacentral:rRNA from 1 species
GACGAACGCUGGCGGCGUGCUUAACACAUGCAAGUCGAACGAAGGGGCGAACGGGUGAGUAAUACGGGGGAAACCUGCCCUCCUUUUUGGGAUAAGGCUUGGAAACGGGGUCUAAUACCGAAUAAAGGGGGAGGGGCCCGCGGCCGAGCGGCUGGUUGGUGGGGUGAUGGCCUACCAAGGGGGUGACGGGUAGACGGCCUGAGAGGGUGACCGGGCACGUGGGUACUGAGAUACGGCCCAGCAGCCUACGGGAGGCAGCAGUGGGGGAUAUUGAACAAUGGGCGAAAGCCUGAUGCAGCGACGCCGAGUGGGGGAUGAAGGCUUUCGGGUUGUAAUCCUCGUUCGCUAGCGAACGGGUAGGUGGAGAGGAAGCGCCGGCUAACUACGUGCCAGCAGCCGCGGUAAUAC